GCCACCUAGCGUUGUGACGUCAGAAAACAUAGUUAGCCAUGCUGGUGUUAGCAUGGCUAACAAUGUUUUCUGACGUCACAAUGCGAGUUCAUUCUAACACUAGCAUGGCUAACAUUCUUCUCUUCUUCAUCACAACUAGAAGUGGCUACUUGUAAACAUGAGUUUCUUUUACGUCACAACGCUAGGUGUCUACGUGUUUGACCUAACCACCUAGCGUAUUGUUCUUGCUAACACUAGCAUGGCUAAUAUUGUUGUUCUUUGCCGUCACAAAGCUAGUUCAUGCUAACAUUGUUCUCUUACAUCACAACGCAAAGUGGCUACUUCCUAGCAUGACUUUCUUCCACGUCACAAUGCUAGGUGGUUACGUCACACUUGUAGCCAUAGACAUGUUAGAAGUAGACGCAGCGUUUGCUGCUACGACGCGAAAAAUCGGGCCGCCAUCUUGAAGUGGUGAUGAGCCGGUGAGCAGCCUAAAACUGACACUUGACAGGUAGAAAACAAAGAUGGUGUACAGCGUUUUCCUGCUCAAAUGAACGGCAUACUUGCUAACCUUGAGACCGUAGCGUCCCGGAAGAGUUAGUGCUGCAAGUGGUUCUGGAUAUUUGUUCUGUCGUGUUACGGUGCGGAUGUUCUCCCGAAAUGUGUUUGUCAUUUUUGUUUGGUGUUGGUUCACAGCGUGGCGCAUAUUUGUAGCAGUGUUAAAGUUGUUUAUACGGCCACCCUAAGUGUCACCUGUAUGUGUGUUGACCAAGUAUGCCCUACAUUCACGUAUGUGGGUGUAAAAGCCGUAGAUAUUAUGUGACCGAGCCGGCAAGCUGUUUGUACGGAGGAACAGUGGACGUGAUAUGUUGUAGAGCAGGGGUAGGGAACCUGUGGCUCUUUUGAUGACUGCUUCUGGCUCUCAGAUAAAUCUUAGCUAACAUUGCUUAACGCGAUAAUUACGAAUAAUUUUGCCGGUAAUCACAGUGCUAAAAACGUGCAAAAUAUAAAACAUUCUCAUGUAUUUAAAUCCAUCCAUCCGUUUCCUACCGCACCUGUUCAAGAAGUCGCAUUAAUGGUAAGAAGUAUUUUAUGUCACGAUGGGGGGUUCGCAGCUUGCUGCAGGGUCGUUCUCCCAGGAAGGCAGACGGACUACUCGGGACAUAGCAUUUAGGUAAAAACAUGAUUUAAUUUAAGCUAAAAGAAAGAUACAAACAAAAAUCGCUCACAGCGGAGGCAUAACUUGGGCUAAGGAACAAAGUUAACGCAUAAACAGAAUAUGAACAUAAAUCAAAACUUAUUUGGCACGAAACUAUGGCAAGGCAUGAAACAAGUCAGCACAGGGCGACUGACUGGCAAAGACAAGCUUAAAUACUGCCUCUGAUUAGUGCUCGGGAAGCAGGUGAGCGGGCAUUUUGUCCACCAGAGACAGGUGGACAAAAUGAGUAACCAAGGAAACCAGACAAGGGAGUGGAAAAAAAACAGGAACUUAAAGAGUCCAAAGGACAAACAAAAACAUGAUCAACAGACAUAACAUUUGAUUUAUUAUUGGUUAGCUUCAGAAUAACAAUGUUAUUAAAAAGAAUAAGACACUUAUUAUACUCUAAAUAUGUUAGUCUUACUUAAAAAUGCACACAUUUAGUUGUAUUCAGUGUUAAAAAAUAUGAUAUGGCUCUCACGGAAAUACAUUUUUGAAAUAUUUGGAUUUCAUGGCUCUCUCAGCCAAAAAGGUUCCCGACCCCUGAUGUAUUGUACCAUAUGUCCCGGCAAGAAAUCUGCGUUCAAAAGACUCCGGCUUAUUAGUGAUUCCUAGAGCUCAAAAAAAGUCUGCGGGCUAUAGAGCGUUUUCCGUUCGGGCUCCAGUACUCUGGAAUGCCCUCCCGGUAACAGUUCGAGAUGCUACCUCAGUAGAAGCAUUUAAGUCUCAUCUUAAAACUCAUCUGUAUACUCUAGCCUUUAAAUAGACCUUUUUAGACCAGUUGAUCUGCCGCUUCUUUUCUUUCUCCUAUGUCCCCCCCUCCCUUGUGGAGGGGGUCCGGUCCGAUGACCAUGGAUGAAGUACUGACUGUCCAGAGUCGGGACCCAGGAUGGACCGCUCGCCUGUAUCGGUUGGGGACAUCUCUACGCUGCUGAUCCGCUUGAGAUGGUUUCCUGUGGACGGGACUCUCGCUGCUGUCUUGGAGCCACUAUGGAUUGAACUUUCACAGUAUCAUGUUAGACCCGCUCGACAUCCAUUGCUUUCGGUCCCCUAGAGGGGGGGGGUUGCCCACAUCUGAGGUCCUCUCCAAGGUUUCUCAUAGUCAGCAUUGUCACUGGCGUCCCACUGGAUGUGAAUUCUCCCUGCCCACUGGGUGUGAGUUUUCCUUGCCCUUUUGUGGGUUCUUCCCAGGAUGUUGUAGUCGUAAUGAUUUGUGCAGUCCUUUGAGACAUUUGUGAUUUGGGGCUAUAUAAAUAAACAUUGAUUGAUUGAUUGAUUGAUGUAGAGGAUGCUAAAGACAGUGCCUCUGAGGCACGCCCCCAAUAUAGUUGUCCAGGAAACAUUUGGGAGAAUGGUUGCCCGGGGAGAUUUUGGGGAGGGGGCACUGAAAUUGGGGAGUCUCCUGGGAAAAUCGUGAGGGUAAGCAAGUAUGAUGAGAGGACUGUUGAAAAUAGGAAUCAGGGGAUUACUUUUCCUGAGUAAGAUUUAACAUUAACCUACUAUUGGUUGUAUUUUUUUUAAGCAAAGUUACUUUCUUAACAGUAUAAUUGUAACCAGGAAUAAGUCUUCAAGUAACAAUAUUCAAAUACUAACAUCGUUGGGUAGGACAGAAUUUGGUUUUAUUCUGAAUCCAGUGAAACAGAUUGGUGGUUUUAGCGGAUAUAAAGACUUUCAGGUGUUUAUGUAUGUUUAUGUUGAAGUAUUUGGCAGACGCUUUUAUCCAAAGCGUCAAACAUAAAAAAUACAUAUAAAACAAUCACUGUAAACAUGAUCAUUUAAGGCAGUGGUCCCCAAAUUUUUUGUAGCUGCGAACCAAUCAAUGCUUGAUCAUUUGUCCCAGUUGCUGCACUAAUUGUAAGUGUAUCUUGUGUUUUAUGUUGAUUUAAUAAAAAAUCAAAAAAUAAUAAUAAAAAAUUCUUCUGCGGCCUGGUACCAGUGGAGCCCGGUGGUUGGGGACCACUGAUUUAAGGGAAGAAUGUAAUACUAAAUAUCAAUACAAAGUGUCAAGACAGAAUGUGAAUUAUAUUUAUAUAGCGCUUUUCUCUAGUGCAGGCCUGGCCAACCCGCGGCUCUUUAACUAGUUCCAUGCGGCUCUUCAUGAGCUGUCACAUGACAUGCGUCAAAAAUGCUUGGCUGGCGCUGUCAUUAACUCCUCCUACAGCUAGAUGGCACACUGACCAUGUAAGCCUGUUUGAGUGACGUCAAACGAGCGCCGAGAGAAUCUUUGGUGUGACAUCAUUUGUGUUGUAAACAAUUUCCGUCAAGUUACCUCUUGAAAUGGCAGGGAAAAAAAGCAUAGUCAAACGAAAAUGUGAAGAACACAGGACGUUUUUGCCAGAGACCUCGAGUGGAUUAUGGAUGUGGCAUUUUCAGUCGACAUGCUGUGUCACUUGGACAGACUGAACCUGACCCUGCAGGGUGUGUAAGACGACAGCAGGUGUGGCUCACCCACCUGAACUAUGACCUCUUCCUUGGACUGCUCCAACACGCCCAGUCUGAGGAUCUCAGAUUUGGGAAUCACCUGCGGACAUGAGUCACAUUGCUUGACUUCUUCUUCCACUUGAAGCUGCCAGUGUGUUGCACGAGGUACCUUGACAGCGUACGUCUUCUGCUUGCUCUUGUCCUUCACCUUCAGGAUGGGGCCGAAAGAACCUUUGGCGAUGUAGCCCAACACCUGACAAGGUGCAGGCCUGUGUGGGAACUCGGGCAGGAACAUGGUCACCCAGCCCGGCAGGCUCCACUCCGCCCUCAGCUUGUCGGGCCCCACAGCCGCCAGCCUCAGCACAUGUUCGGGGAUGUCGGGCGCCUUGGCCUGGAGCAUGCGCCGCCCAGCCGGGCGCAGGGGGGGCGGAGCCAGGCGGCAGACGGCGGCGGGGAGGGACAGGCUCAUGCCGGACAGGAAGCCGCGCCAUCCCGACACCAGGUUCUGGUCCUCCCGGGCGUCAGUGGGCCUCUGGUGAGGAAGAAUAGUUACCUUAGAAUGUUCUCCAACAAAGGUGUCCAAAGUGUGUAAAGACCUAUUGUAAAAAUAUUGUUAAAUAGUGGCAAAUACUGCAAAAGUUUUGUACAAAUAUUGUAAAAAAUAUUGUACAUGUAUCAUACUAAAUAUUAA